AUUGAACGCUGGCGGCAGGCCUAACACAUGCAAGUCGAACGGCAGCACAGAAGAGCUUGCUCUUUGGGUGGCGAGUGGCGGACGGGUGAGUAAUGUCUGGGAAACUGCCCGAUGGAGGGGGAUAACUACUGGAAACGGUAGCUAAUACCGCAUAACGUCGCGAGACCAAAGUGGGGGACCUUCGGGCCUCACAACAUCGGAUGUGCCCAGAUGGGAUUAGCUAGUAGGUGGGGUAAUGGCUCACCUAGGCGACGAUCCCUGUCUGGUCUGAGAGGAUGACCAGCCACACUGGAACUGAGACACGGUCCAGACUCCUACGGGAGGCAGCAGUGGGGAAUAUUGCACAAUGGGCGCAAGCCUGAUGCAGCCAUGCCGCGUGUAUGAAGAAGGCCUUCGGGUUGUAAAGUACUUUCAGCGGGGAGGAAGGCGGUGAGGUUAAUAACCUUGCCGAUUGACGUUACCCGCAGAAGAAGCACCGGCUAACUCCGUGCCAGCAGCCGCAGUAA
rnacentral:rRNA from 1 species